UCAUGCCGAUGCAUCUUGGUGUUUUAUGAGUGAAAAAGUUUCAAAAAUGUGUUUAGACGUUGUUAAGACCCUUCUGUUUUUCCAAUUUUUUCUAAAAUUUAUUCUCCUUUUCCUAUAGCUAAAUCUAAUUUUUAGAUGGUUCUAGAAUCCUUUUCAUGAGCACCAAAUAUUUUAUUUGGAUUCCUCGUGUUUCAAACUAUCUAAAUUUUCAGAGUAAAUUUUUAUUUACACAAGAAAUUAAUUCUGAAAAUAAAAAGAGAAAAACCUCUCCCUCAAUCUAUCUCUUUAGGCCGGCCCCUUUCUCCUCCUCCUUCGCUUCGGCCUGAAAGAAAUCUCCAGCGCCGGCCCAAUCUCCCCUUCCUUCUCUUUUUUCUGCCGGCCCACCUUCUCUCCCUUGCAUCGGCCCAACUUCCGCGGCCCACCUCUCCUUCCCCUUCUCUUUCCUUUCAGCAGGCCGUCGGCCCACUCGGCCUCUUUUCCCACCGGCCCAAGUCCUCUUGCCGGCCCAUCUCCGCGCCCUCUCGCUGACUGGUGGACCCCACAGAUCGGAAGCUCCUUCAACCUCCGGUUACAGGCACCGCCGCAUCUUCCAGGUCGCGUCGCCAGGCCGGCCGAAUCCUUCCGCCUCCCGCGCCCGUCCACCUCCCCGGCGCCCCCCUGCCUUCCUGCACCGCUUCGCCUUCCCCACGAGCACCACUCGCCCCCCCUUUCUCUUCCUCUUCCAGUAACGGCCGCCUACCACCAGUCGGUUCCCAUUCAUGGCGCCGCCGCCCCUUUACUUCUCCUCUACUGCGCCUCCUCCGCUCCCUCCUCCGUCCCUAUAAAUGGAUGCCCCGCCGCCACUGGAGCUCUUUACCCCGCUUCCCUCGCCUCCUCACGCCACCAAGCCGCCGCCAUCAAAGCUCCACCGCCGGCCAAAUCCCGCGCCUCCACUCCGGCCGCCGCCGCCUCGUGCUGCUUCCCUGGCCGCGUUGCGCCUCCGUCGCCCGCGCCACCUGCCACGCCGGCGCUGCCUGCACCGCAACCGCAACCGCGCCCCCUAGCCCCGACCGAAGGCACCGCCGGGAUCCCCCCUGAUGGUUCUGUCAAGUCGACCGGAUGCAAUCGGGAGAUGGAAGAAGACAAGGCGCACUUUUGCGUUUCGGCCCCUGAAAACCUUAUCUAACCCCGGAUUUUCAGCUUUUCGUGGGCUCUGCUCUCUGUGUCUUGAAGGAUCGCUGCUCAGAAGCUUUGAAGGUUAAAAGUUUCAAGAAAGCAAGAUCUGAAGAGCGGUAAGAGUAACUUUACGUUGGAGACCUAAUAACCAUCCUUCUACCUAUGCUUUGUUCACAAUAUCAUGAUAAUGUUAAUUGGAACAUGGAGAACCACCCGAAAAACAGUACAACCUCAAGAACUAUCAUGGCUCUGGUCUUGGCUAAUUAUAGAGACCUUAGUCUGGGGUAACCUUACUGAAAGGGUAAGAGGGGUGGCAGCAGAUGGGAUAUAAUUCGGUUCUCUUGGGACGUGGGCUUUGCUAAGACACUGUACCCACUAGGGAGGGUUUAUGCCCUGCUACUGAUUCGGAAACCUUAGCGGAUUACCACUUACUAGGGAAUUUUUGUAAAGGCCUCAUAGCGACCCUAUGCAAUCACACCUCGGAAGUGUGGUAUGGUGCCUAGCUAGCACCGCAUGGUUGGGUCCAAAGUUCUUUGAACUUUUACGCGACUUGUGGGUAAAUAUGUACAACCUUUGCAUAGUGUAAACUGAUUUAUCAGUGCUCACAAUUAAGAGCGGCCUGAACCCUCACAUGAUUAACUAACCUUGAAG